GACGAACGCUGGCGGCGUGCUUAACACAUGCAAGUCGAACGGUGAUGCUCCAGCUUGCUGGCGUGGAUCAGUGGCGAACGGGUGAGUAACACGUGAGCAACCUGCCCCAGACUCUGGAAUAAGCGCUGGAAACGGCGUCUAAUACUGGAUACGAAACUGGCCCGCAUGGGCAUGGUUUGGAAAGUUUUUCGGUUUGGGAUGGGCUCGCGGCCUAUCAGCUUGUUGGUGAGGUAAUGGCUCACCAAGGCGACGACGGGUAGCCGGCCUGAGAGGGCGACCGGCCACACUGGGACUGAGACACGGCCCAGACUCCUACGGGAGGCAGCAGUGGGGAAUAUUGCACAAUGGGCGAAAGCCUGAUGCAGCGACGCCGCGUGAAGGAUGACGGCCUUCGGGUUGUAAACCUCUUUCAGCAGGGAAGAAGCGAAAGUGACGGUACCUGCAGAAGAAGCACCGGCUAACUACGUG
rnacentral:rRNA from 1 species